rnacentral:rRNA from 1 species
CCUACGGGUGGCUGCAGUGGGGAAUAUUGCACAAUGGGGGAAACCCUGAUGCAGCGACGCCGCGUGAGUGAAGAAGUAUCUCGGUAUGUAAAGCUCCAUCAGCAGGGAAGAAAAUGACGGUACCUGACUAAGAAGCCCCGUCUAACUACGUGCCAGCAGCCGCGGCAAGACGGAGGGGGCAAGCGUUAUCCGGAUUUACUGGGUGUAAAGCGGGCGUAGAUGGCCAGAGAAGUAAGAAGUGAAAGCCCAGGGCUCAACCCUUGGACUGCUUUUGAAACUGCCGGGCUGGAGUGCGGGAGAGGUAAGCGGAAUGCGUGGUGUAGCGGUGAAAUGCGUAGAUAUUAGGAGGAACACCAGUGGCGAAGGCGGCUUACUGGACUGUAACUGACGUUGAGGCUCGAAAGCGUGGGGAGCAAACAGGAUUAGAUACCCUUGUAGUC